rnacentral:rRNA from 1 species
GACGACGCUGGCGGCGUGCCUAAUACAUGCAAGUCGAGCGGGGAUUAUGCUUGAUCGCUUCGGUGAGACGGCAUAUAUCCUAGCGGCGGACGGGUGAGUAACGCGUGGGUAAUCUACCUCGUAGUUCGGGAUAACAGGCCGAAAGGCUUGCUAAUACCGGAUGAGUUCAUGCUUAUGCAUAUAGGCAUGAAGAAAGGGCUAGCCCGCUAUGAGAUGAGCCCGCGUCCCAUUAGCUUGUUGGUGGGGUAAUGGCCUACCAAGGCAACGAUGGGUAGCCGGCCUGAGAGGGUGUACGGCCACACUGGGACUGAGACACGGCCCAGACUCCUACGGGGGGCAGCAGUAGGGAAUUUUCGGCAAUGGGCGAAAGCCUGACCGAGCGACGCCGCGUGAGGGACGAAGGCCUUCGGGUUGUAAACCUCUGUCUGGGGGGAUGAGAACGGACGGUACCCCCGGAGGGAAGCCCCGGCUAACUACGUG